UCAGUGAACUAUAAGUGAAAA
rnacentral:siRNA from 1 species